UAUAUGAAGCGGCAGUUGCCAAGUCUAUCAGAGACAUAAUCUGUGACUAUGUGCCAGAGAACUGCACCAAGGAACUGUUAGAUUCCGACCCAUGUUUCACCGAUCCUAGCCGGUCCCACAUGUCCAGAAUGGAAAUGUAUAGAAUCUGUACUUUUAGUUUUGUUGGGGUCAUGGGUCCCUUUGUCUUCUUCAAUCUCACAAAGACUAAGUAUAUGCAGAUCUUGACUACCAUCACAAGAUGGCUCGCGAUGGGCACCAUGAUCACAUGGGCCAUUGUGCUCUUGGCGGAAGGGAAGAACCAGGGUCACCCCCCUGCGGCCGAUAUCACCAAGCUCCCUCAGUUGUUUGG